UGACAUACUACUGCCGCUGUACAACGGACUACCCCAGGACUGAUUCUCUAACAGCAUUACGCUCUACCUAUACAGAAAGCAUUACCACUUCACCACAUGGGGUCACCCCAAACAGUGUAGAAG